rnacentral:rRNA from 1 species
AUUGAACGCUGGCGGCAUGCCUUACACAUGCAAGUCGAACGGCAGCACGGGGGCAACCCUGGUGGCGAGUGGCGGACGGGUGAGUAAUGCAUCGGAACGUGCCCUGAAGUGGGGGAUAACGCAGCGAAAGCUACGCUAAUACCGCAUAUUCUGUGAGCAGGAAAGCAGGGGAUCGCAAGACCUUGCGCUUUGGGAGCGGCCGAUGUCGGAUUAGCUAGUUGGUGGGUAAAGGCCUACCAAGGCGACGAUCCGUAGCGGGUCUGAGAGGAUGAUCCGCCACACUGGGACUGAGACACGGCCCAGACUCCUACGGGAGGCAGCAGUGGGGAAUUUUGGACAAUGGGCGAAAGCCUGAUCCAGCCAUGCCGCGU